AACAGGACAAGAACAAUUUAAGGAAAGUUUGGAACCAGAACAAGAAAAAGUGUGUUUUAAACUGAAGAAACUGGACGAUGCCUGAAGGCAGUAAUUCAAGAACUCUGCUGCCCAUUGUAAUCACGUGAGGAUCUUUAGACUACUGAUGCCUGGCUCCCACACUCAGACAUUCUGAUGUCACUGAUGUGAGGUGUGACCUGGGCAUCUGUCUUUUCAAAAACUCCAAAGGUGAUUCUAGUUGGCAGCAAAGCUUGGGACCAACUGCCCUAAGGUAAUGCAUUAGUCAGUUUGGCAAUUCCCUAAAGGAAGUUACUAGGCUUUUCUAAAGAAACAUCUAGUUCAUCCUGACUAAUCUUGAAAAGAAGUGACAAAUUCUCAGCAACUCACAACUUCUCCCUAGAGUACUUCCCCCUUAUCCUACUCAGGCUUUAGUCUGUCUUGUUUGUUUUGAGAAAAACUGAGAGUGUAUUUAACUCCACCACGCCAAGCCACCUGCAGCUGCCAAGAUACAUGUCUUCUGAUAUACAGGUCUUCAGAAAAUACUAGAAAAAGAUCCUCUGUGUUCUUGAGCUGUUAUCUAAGCUAUAAUAGAGCUAUAUAUACCAGAAACCGCCCAGUCUGCAAGUAUGCCCUGAACUGUAAUUCUUUUCCUCAAAAUAAAACAUUUUAAUUUAGA